rnacentral:rRNA from 1 species
UACGGAGGGUGCAAGCGUUAUCCGGAUUCACUGGGUUUAAAGGGUGCGUAGGUGGGUUGGUAAGUCAGUGGUGAAAUCUCCAGGCUUAACUUGGAAACUGCCAUUGAUACUAUCAAUCUUGAAUACCGUGGAGGUCAGCGGAAUAUGUCAUGUAGCGGUGAAAUGCUUAGAUAUGACAUAGAACACCAAUUGCGAAGGCAGCUGGCUACACGAAUAUUGACACUGGAUGCACGAAAGCGUGGGGAUCAAACAGGAUUGAGAA